UACGUAGGGGGCAAGCGUUGUCCGGAUUUAUUGGGCGUAAAGAGCGUGUAGGCGCCAGACAGGUCCGUUGUGAAGCACUAGGCGUUAACCUCUAGACGUCGAUGGAAACCGUCUGGCUAGAGUCCGGAAGAGGAGAAUGGAAUUCCUGGUGUAGCGGUGAAAUGCGCAGAUAUCAGGAAGAACACCCCGUGGCUAAGGCGGUUCUCUAGUACGGUACUGACGCUGAGACGCGAAAGCGUGGGGAGCGAACAGG
rnacentral:rRNA from 1 species